GCAGGUCUGCCCGAGCAUGGCCAAAGGAUCGGACUCAGGCUCCGAUGGAGAAGCCCUGUGGGUUCAAAUCCCCCGCAUCA
rnacentral:tRNA from 2 species